GAUGAAGAACGUAGCGAAAUGCGAUAAGUAAUGUGAAUUGCAGAAUUCUGUGAAUCAUCGAAUCUUUGAACGCACAUUGCGCCCCUUGGUAUUCCGAGGGGCAUGCCCGUUCGAGCGUCAUUAUACCCCUCAAGCCUAGCUUGGUGUUGGGGCCUGCUGUUACCGGCAGCCCUUAAAAUCAGUGGCGGUGCCAUCUGGCUCUAAGCGUAGUAAUACUUCUCGCUACAGGGUCCCGGUGGAUGCUUGCCAUCAACCCCUAAUUUUCUAUGGUUGACCUCGGAUCGGGUAGGGAUACCCGCUGAACUUAAGCAUAUCAAUAAGCGGAGGA
rnacentral:misc_RNA from 1 species